rnacentral:rRNA from 1 species
GAUGAACGCUAGCGGCAGGCUUAAUACAUGCAAGUCGAGGGGCAGCAUAGUGUAGCAAUACAUGGGUGGCGACCGGCAAACGGGUGCGGAACACGUACAGAACCUUCCUUCGAGCGGGGAAUAGCCCAGAGAAAUUUGGAUUAAUACCCCAUAGUAUAUUGGAGUGGCAUCACUUUGAUAUUAAAGAUUUAUCACUUGAAGAUGGCUGUGCGUCUGAUUAGGUAGUUGGUGAGGUAAUGGCUCACCAAGCCAGCGAUCAGUAACUGGUGUGAGAGCCCGACCAGUCACCCGGUCACUGAGACACGGGCCCGACUCCUACGGGAGGCAGCAGUAAGGAAUAUUGGUCAAUGGACGCAAGUCUGAACCAGCCAUGCCGCGUGGAGGAUGAAGGUCCUCUGGAUUGUAAACUUCUUUUAUCUGGGACGAAAAAGGGCCUUUCUAGGUCAACUGACGGUACCAGAUGAAUAAGCACCGGCUAACUUCGUGCCAGCCGCCGCCGUAACAC